rnacentral:rRNA from 1 species
UACGUAGGGGGCAAGCGUUGUCCGGAUUUAUUGGGCGUAAAGAGCGUGUAGGCGGCUUUACAGGUCCGUUGUGAAAACUCGAGGCUCAACCUCGAGACGCCGGUGGAAACCGUAAAGCUAGAGUCCGGAAGAGGAGAGUGGAAUUCCCAGUGUAGCGGUGAAAUGCGCAGAUAUCGGGAGGAACACCAAUGGCGAAGGCAGCUCGCUGGGACGGUACUGACGCUGAGGCGCGAAAGCGUGGGGAGCAAACAGG